GAUGAAGAACGCAGCGAAAUGCGAUAAGUAGUGUGAAUUGCAGAAUUCAGUGAAUCAUCGAAUCUUUGAACGCACAUUGCGCCCCUUGGUAUUCCAUGGGGCAUGCCUGUUCGAGCGUCAUUUGUACCUUCAAGCUUUGCUUGGUGUUGGGUGUUUGUCUCGCCUUUGCGUGUAGACUCGCCUUAAAAUAAUUGGCAGCCGGCGUAUUGAUUUCGGAGCGCAGUACAUCUCGCGCUUUGCACUCAUAACGACAGCGUCCAAAAGUACAUUUUACACUCUUGACCUCGGAUCGGGUAGGGAUACCCGCUGAACUUAAGCAUAUCAAUAAGCGGAGGA
rnacentral:misc_RNA from 1 species